rnacentral:rRNA from 1 species
CAGCAGCCGCGGUAAAACGUAGGUGGCAAGCGUUGUCCGGAAUUAUUGGGCGUAAAGGGCUCGCAGGCGGUUUCUUAAGUCUGAUGUGAAAGCCCCCGGCUCAACCGGGGAGGGUCAUUGGAAACUGGGAAACUUGAGUGCAGAAGAGGAGAGUGGAAUUCCACGUGUAGCGGUGAAAUGCGUAGAGAUGUGGAGGAACACCAGUGGCGAAGGCGACUCUCUGGUCUGUAACUGACGCUGAGGAGCGAAAGCGUGGGGAGCGAACAGGAUUAGAUACCUGCGUAGUCCCUGUCUCUUAUAC